rnacentral:ncRNA from 1 species
AACGACCGGUCGGACAUCUAUGUGUCCGACCCGCAAGUGGAGGCUCCGAACUCCCACCUGACCAUCCUCCGGGACGGCAGGUCACCGGUCAGACGGCCCCCACCGUUCCGUACGGACGGUGGAGUCGUCCGAAACCGCGCCCCGCGGCACACCCGCGGCGGUGCUCCGGCAGUGCAAGGAGCCCCGCCUGUGUCCCGUCCGGGGCAUUUUUC